rnacentral:rRNA from 3 species
GAUUAGGAGACGUUGAAUACAAAACACCACCAUCGGCGCGGUCGUCCUUGGCGUGUCUCGGCUUCACGGCCGGGGCGCGCGAGGGCGGUUUAGCCCGGUGGCACCGGUGAAUGACUCC